ACUUCUGUAGCAACACAGGAGGUUAUCUAGUGGCGUAAGGGUGCGUAACACGUGGGCAAUCUGCCGAGAAGUGGGGGAUAGCUCGCCGAAAGGCGAAUUAAUACCGCAUGUGGCCAGGGAAGACAUCUUCCUGACGCCAAAGCCGGGGCAACCUGGCGCUUCUUGAUGAGCCCGCGGCCUAUCAGCUUGUUGGCGGGGUAACGGCCCACCAAGGCUAUGACGGGUAGCUGGUCUGAGAGGACGACCAGCCACACUGGAACUGAGACACGGUCCAGACACCUACGGGUGGCAGCAGUCGAGAAUUUUUGACAAUGGGGGAAACCCUGAUCGAGCGACGCCGCGUGGAGGAUGAAGGUCUUCGGAUUGUAAACUCCUGUCAUUGGGGAACAAGGUGCAUACAUUAACUGCGUGUGUAUUGAUAGUACCCGAAGAGGAAGGGACGGCUAACUCUGUGCCAGCAGCCGCGGUAAUACAGAGGUCCCAAGCGUAGUACAGGAUUCAUUGGGCGUAAAGGGUGCGUAGGCGGAGCGGUAAGUCGAGGUGUGAAAUCUCGGAGCUUAAACUCCGAAAACU
rnacentral:rRNA from 1 species